AUUGAACGCUGGCGGCAUGCCUUACACAUGCAAGUCGAACGGCAGCGCGGGGCAACCUGGCGGCGAGUGGCGAACGGGUGAGUAAUAUAUCGGAACGUACCCUGGAGUGGGGGAUAACGUAGCGAAAGUUACGCUAAUACCGCAUACGAUCUACGGAUGAAAGCGGGGGAUCGCAAGACCUCGCGCGAUUGGAGCGGCCGAUAUCAGAUUAGGUAGUUGGUGAGGUAAAGGCUCACCAAGCCGACGAUCUGUAGCUGGUCUGAGAGGACGACCAGCCACACUGGGACUGAGACACGGCCCAGACUCCGUACGGGAGGCAGCAGGU
rnacentral:rRNA from 1 species